AGCAUGUGGUUUAAUUCGAAGCAACGCGAAGAACCUUACCAGGUCUUGACAUCCCGAUGCUAUUUCUAGAGAUAGAAGUUACUUCGGUACAUCGGUGACAGGUGGUGCAUGGUUGUCGUCAGCUCGUGUCGUGAGAUGUUGGGUUAAGUCCCGCAACGAGCGCAACCCCUAUUGUUAGUUGCCAUCAUUCAGUUGGGCACUCUAGCGAGACUGCCGGUAAUAAACCGGAGGAAGGUGGGGAUGACGUCAAAUCAUCAUGCCCCUUAUGACCUGGGCUACACACGUGCUACAAUGGGCAGUACAGACGGAAGCGAAGCUGUGAAGUGGAGCAAAUCCGAGAAAGCUGUUCGUAGUUCGGAUUGUAGGCUGCAACUCGCCUACAUGAAGUCGGAAUCGCUAGUAAUCGCAGGUCAGCACACUGCGGUGAAUACGUUCCCGGGCCUU
rnacentral:rRNA from 1 species